AUUGAACGCUGGCGGCAUGCCUUACACACGCAAGUCGAACGGUAACGGGCCUUCGGGUGCCGACGAGUGGCGAACGGGUGAGUAAUGUAUCGGAACGUACCUUUCAGUGGGGGAUAACGUAGCGAAAGUUACGCUAAUACCGCAUAUUCUGUGAGCAGGAAAGCAGGGGAUCGCAAGACCUUGCGCUGAUUGAGCGGCCGAUAUCAGUUUAGCUAGUUGGUGAGGUAAAGGCUCACCAAGGCGACGAUCUGUAGCGGGUCUGAGAGGAUGAUCCGCCACACUGGAACUGAGACACGGUCCAGACUCCUACGGGAGGCAGCAGUGGGGAAUUUUGGACAAUGGGGGCAACCCUGAUCCAGCCAUGCCGCGUGAGUGAAGAAGGCCUUCGGGUUGUAAAGCUCUUUCGGCCGGGAAGAAAUCGUAUGGGUUAAUACCCUGUGCGGAUGACGGUACCGGCAUAAGAAGCACCGGCUAACUACGUGCCAGCCGCCGCGGUAAAAC
rnacentral:rRNA from 1 species